UCGAAUGGCGUGGCAAGCAAUAUCUCGUCCUGGCCGACUCGUACUCGAACUGGUUCGAGGUGGACCUUCUUACUUCCCUCACGUCCGAGAUGGUUAUCCGCAAGCUGCGAAGACAUUUCUCUACUUUCGGCUCCCCGGUCCGUUUGCAGACUGACAACGGCAGGCAGUUCACAAGCAACGAGAUUUCAAAAGGUUUGCC